UACGUAGGGGGCGAGCGUUGUCCGGAAUCAUUGGGCGUAAAGCGCGUGUAGGCGGUUCGGUAAGUCUGCUGUGAAAGUCCAGGGCUCAACCCUGGGAUGCCGGUGGAUACUGCCGAACUAGAGUGCGGAGAGGCGAGUGGAAUUCCCGGUGUAGCGGUGAAAUGCGCAGAUAUCGGGAAGAACACCAGUGGCGAAGGCGGUUCUCUGGGACGGUAC
rnacentral:rRNA from 1 species